AUUGAACGCUGGCGGCAGGCCUAACACAUGCAAGUCGAGCGAGCGGCGGACGGGUGAGUAAUGUAUGGGGACUGCCCGAUCGAGGGGGAUAACUACUGGAAACGGUAGCUAAUACCGAAUACUAUAGGAUAGCCCAUAUGGGAUUAGCUAGUAGGUGAGGUAAUGGCUCACCGAGGCGACGAUCCCGAGCUGGUCUGAGAGGAUGAUCAGCCACACUGGGACUGAGACACGGCCCAGACUCCUACGGAGGCAGCAGUGGGGAAUAUGGCAGAAUGGGCGCAGGCCUGAUGCAGCCAUGCCGCGUGAAUGAAGAAGGCCCUAGGGUUGUAAAGUACUUUCAGUCGGGAGGCGUUACCGACAGAAGAAGCACCGGCGAACUCCGUGCCAGCAGCCGCGGUAAUUC
rnacentral:rRNA from 1 species